CCUACGGGGGGCAGCAGUGGGGAAUAUUGCGCAAUGGGCGAAAGCCUGACGCAGCGACGCCGCGUGAGGGAUGAAGGUCUUCGGAUCGUAAACCUCUGUCAGCAGGGAAGAACGGUCACUGUGCUAAUCAGCAGUGAAUUGACGGUACCUGCAAAGGAAGCACCGGCUAACUCCGUGCCAGCAGCCGCGGUAAUACGGAGGGUGCGAGCGUUAAUCGGAAUUACUGGGCGUAAAGCGCUCGUAGGCGGUAUGUCAAGUCAAGGGUGAAAGCCCCGCGCUCAACGUGGGAAGUGCCUUUGAAACUGGAAAACUGGAGUGCGUGAGAGGAUAGUGGAAUUCCAGGUGUAGGGGUGAAAUCCGUAGAUAUCUGGAGGAACAUCAGUGGCGAAGGCGACUAUCUGGCACAUAACUGACGCUGAGGAGCGAAAGCGUGGGUAGCAAACAGGAUUAGAUACCCUUGUAGUC
rnacentral:rRNA from 1 species